AUUGAACGCUGGCGGCAGGCUUAACACAUGCAAGUCGAGCGGGGAAAUAUAGCUUGCUAUAUGACCUAGCGGCGGACGGGUGAGUAAUGCUUAGGAAUCUGCCUAUUAGUGGGGGACAACAUUUCGAAAGGGAUGCUAAUACCGCAUACGCCCUACGGGGGAAAGCAGGGGAUCUUCGGACCUUGCGCUAAUAGAUGAGCCUAAGUCGGAUUAGCUAGUUGGUGGGGUAAAGGCCUACCAAGGCGACGAUCUGUAGCGGGUCUGAGAGGAUGAUCCGCCAACCUGGGACUGAGACACGGCCCAGACUCCUACGGGAGGCAGCAGUGGGGAAUAUUGGACAAUGGGGGGAACCCUGAUCCAGCCAUGCCGCGUGUGUGAAGAAGGCCUUUUGGUUGUAAAGCACUUUAAGCGAGGAGGAGGCUCCUGUAGAUAAUACCUACAGUGAGUGGACGUUACUCGCAGAAUAAGCACCGGCUGACUCUGUGCCAGCCGCCGCGGUAAAAC
rnacentral:rRNA from 1 species